rnacentral:rRNA from 1 species
AGUGAACGCUGGCGGUAGGCCUAACACAUGCAAGUCGAACGGCAGCACAGUAAGAGCUUGCUCUUACGGGUGGCGAGUGGCGGACGGGUGAGGAAUACAUCGGAAUCUACUUUUUCGUGGGGGAUAACGUAGGGAAACUUACGCUAAUACCGCAUACGACCUACGGGUGAAAGCAGGGGAUCUUCGGACCUUGCGCGAUUGAAUUAGCCGAUGCCGGAUUAGCUAGUUGGCGGGGUAAAGGCCCACCAAGGCGACGAUCCGUAGCUGGUCUGAGAGGAUGAUCAGCCACACUGGAACUGAGACACGGUCCAGACUCCUACGGGAGGCAGCAGUGGGGAAUAUUGGACAAUGGGCGCAAGCCUGAUCCAGCCAUACCGCGUGGGUGAAGAAGGCCUUCGGGUUGUAAAGCCCUUUUGUUGGGAAAGAAAAGCAGCAGGUUAAUACCCCGCUGUUCUGACGGUACCCAAAGAAUAAGCACCGGCUAACUUCGUG